CCUCGAUGUGGGGCACGGUAUUGGCCUCUCUGAGCCUGUGUCCUUCUCUGCACAGCGUGAUGACAAGACAGCCCCUCCCACUCAGCUGUGUGAGGAUCAAGAGGAGCUCACACAGUCCCCCGCACAGAACCGACAUGCUCCACAGAUGAACCUAAUACAUAUGAGACACUCAAGUCUUAAAGAACACAAAGCUUACUGCCAACAUGCAGGCGACACCAGUAACAAUCCCUGUUGGACAAAACUUCUGUUGCCCACCUCCUGCCCAGUCAGGAGUUCAACCCCCACCUGAAUCCAGAAUCCCCCUCCCCUCCCCUCCCCCCAUCCUUUACUCCUUAAAAACACUGCCUCGACUGAGCUCAGGGCUCUCUCUGAUCUAACCACGGUGACAGAGAGCCCAAGCUCAAGCUUGCAAUAAAGGCUCUUUGUUUUUGCAUACAAACUCGGGCUCCUGGUGGUCUCUGGGGAGCUCAUGACCUGGG